rnacentral:rRNA from 1 species
ACGCUCGACACCUACUGGAGGCAGCAGUGGGGAAUAUUGCACAAUGGGGGAAACCCUGAUGCAGCGACGCCGCGUGGAGGAAGAAGGUCUUCGGAUUGUAAACUCCUGUUGUUGGGGAAAAAGAGGAUGGUACCCAACAAGGAAGUGACGGCUAACUACGUGCCAGCAGCCGCGGUAAUCUGGAGCGGGCUGGCAAGGC